rnacentral:rRNA from 1 species
UACGGGGGGGGCAAGCGUUGUUCGGAAUUACUGGGCGUAAAGGGCUCGUAGGCGGCCAACUAAGUCGGACGUGAAAUCCCCAGGCUCAACCUGGGAACUGCGUCCGAUACUGGAUGGCUUGAAUCCGGGAGAGGGAUGCAGAAUUCCAGGUGUAGCGGUGAAAUGCGUAGAUAUCUGGAGGAAUACCGGUGGCGAAGGCGGCUUCCUGGACAAUUGCUGACGCUCAGGCACGAAAGCGUGGGGAGCAAAAGGG